GAAAAUAAUGAAACUGUAUGGUGCAGAAAGUGUCUUUUCCAUUACAGUUUCUGCUGCUGGGCAAGCAGUAUAUCACUAUACGGCUUCUGUACCGUGAAAUGAAGCUUAUGAUAAAUAAAAUACUGCUGCUUGCUGUUCACUGAUUCAAGAUCGUUCAGUGGCUACCAUUGGCCAACCUUACCAACGGGAUAUAAUAAGAACUGAUGCAGGUUUAUGCACCCGUAGCCAAGUAACAGCAAUGCGAGUUAAAAUGAGUUG